GAUGAACGCUGGCGGCGUGCUUAACACAUGCAAGUCGAACGAAGCAUUUAGGACAGAUUACUUCGGUUUGAAGUUCUUUAUGACUGAGUGGCGGACGGGUGAGUAACGCGUGGGUAACCUGCCUUGUACUGGGGGAUAGCAUCUGGAAACGGCUGGUAAUACCGCAUAAGCGCACAAUGUUGCAUGACAUGGUGUGAAAAACUCCGGUGGUAUAAGAUGUACCCGCGUCUGAUUAGCUAGUUGGUGAGAUAACAGCCCACCAAGGCGACGAUCAGUAGCCGACCUGAGAGGGUGACCGGCCACAUUGGGACUGAGACACGGCCCAGACUCCUACGGGAGUCAGCAGUGGGGAAUAUUGCACAAUGGAGGAAACUCUGAUGCAGCGACGCCGCGUGAGUGAAGAAGUAAUUCGUUAUGUAAAGCUCUAUCAGCAGGGAAGAUAGUGACGGUACCUGACUAAGAAGCUCCGGCUAAAUACGUG
rnacentral:rRNA from 1 species